rnacentral:lncRNA from 1 species
UUGAGGAGUUACUGAGUAUCCUUGGUGCCCAAAGAUGGCACUAAAGUACUGUCUCUUCAAUGCUGUUGUCACUUCUAACCUCUAUCAAAUGAUACGGUGAGAACUUUGGUCCUUGGAUGUUCAGUGAUCUGUAGCUUGGGGUAGGAUUCCUUUUUACCAGGUUUUAUUACCUCUGUCAUAUACAGGAGGAGAGAAGGUGAGAGGGAGCUACCAAGUCUGAAUAGAAAAGACCUCUGGCAAUACAGUUUGUAACACUAUACCCCAUUCAGUUCUGGAAAUGCCAUAUUUCAUGGUCUUAGAAUAGGAAAUAAAUUUGAUGUAUGUUAUCUAAAACUAUAUAACAUAAUUUGGAGUUCACAGGGAGCAUGUCUGAAGCAGCUCCAUAAGUUGAAAGCUAUUGUUGGGGUGACCUAUGUAUUUUUAGAUUUAAGUGGUGUUACACAUUAACUAAAACAGUUAAAAAAAAAAAAUCAGGCAGUGGACAGAACUCACAGCAAAGAGCUCGUGGAGUCCGGCCAGAAGAGCAACCAAGAUGAGGAUGAAGAUACUGAGCCAGAAUCUGGACAAUUAUGUCUGUGAAACCAAGUUGGACUUACAGAGAGUUCCAAGAAACUAUGAUCCUACCUUACAUCCUUUUGAGGUCCCAUGAGAAUAUGUAAGAGCUUUAAAUGCUACCAAAAUGGAAUGAGUAUUUGCAAAACCAUUCCUUGCUUUGCUGGAUGGUCACCAAGAUGGAGUCAGUUGCUUGGCAAAGCAUCCAAAGAACCUGGCUACUGUCCUUUCUGGGGCGUGUGAUGGAGAGGUUAGAAUUUGGAACCUGACUCAACAGAAAUGUAUCCAUACAAUACAAGCACAUGAAGGCUUUGUAUAAGGAAUACGUACUCACUUUUGUGGGACUUCUUUUUUCACCGUUGGUGGUGACAAAACUGUGAAACAAUGGAAAAUGGAUGGGCCAGGCUAUGGAGAUGAGGAAGAACCAUUACAUACAACAUUAGGAAAGACAGUGUAUACUGGGGUUUAUCAUCACUGUAAAGAAGCUGUUUUUGCCACAUGUGGACAGCAAGUAGACAUUUGGGAUGAACAAAGAACUAAUCCUGUAUGUUCAAUGACCUGGGGAUUUGACAGUGUAAGUAGUGUUAAAUUUAACCCAAUCGAGACAUUUCUCUUGGGAAGUUUGUGCGUCUGACAGGAAUAUAGUACUGUACAACAUGAGGCAAGCUACUCCUUUGAAAAAGGUUAUAUUAGAUAUGAGAACAAAUACAGUUUGUUGGAACCCUAUGGAAGCUUUCAUUUUUACGGCAGCAAAUGAAGACUAUAACUUACAUACUUUUGAUAUGUGUGCACUGGACACUCCUGUAAUGUUCCAUAUGGAUCAUGUAUCUGCAGUGCUUGACAUGGAUUACCCUCCCACUGGGAAAGAGCUUGUGUCUGCUAGUUUCGAUAAAGCUAUUUGUAUCUUUCCUAUAGACAAAAGUUGAAGCAGGGAGGUAUAUCACACAAAGCGAAUGCAACAUGUUAUCUGUGUAAAAUGCACUUCUGACAGCAAGUAUAUUAUGUGUGGAUCUGAUGAAAUGAACAUUUGCCUGUGGAAAGCUAAUGCUUCUGAAAAAUUUGGUGUGCUUACAUCAUGAGAAAAAGCAGCUAAGGAUUAUAACUAGAAAUUGAAGGAGAAAUUUCAGCAUCAUCCUGAUAUAAAAUGUAUAGCUUGUCAUUGACAUCUACCAAAAUCUAUCUACAGCCAGAUUCAGGAACAGUGCAUCAUGAAAGAAGCUCGUCGAAGAAAGGAAGUGAAUCGUAUUAAACACAGCAAGCCUGGAUCUGUGCCAAUUGUGUCAGAGAAGAAGAAACAUGUAGGGGCAGUUGUAAAAUAAUUAGUAUUCCUAACAAUCCUGAUGUACAAUUAUUUGUUACUUUUGAUUUGAGAACUCUACAAAUUAAAGUGCUGGGACUAGAUUAAUUGCAUACAUUUUAGUUACAUGUGUAGAGCUUUAUUGUUGCUCCUUUUAGCUACCCUGAAAAAUGCCUAGUUGAUAAAGACUAUCUAACUAUUUUAUCCUUAAUCUGCAUUCUUUUAUUGAAGAAUACAGUAUUUGCAACUAACUCAUUUUUUCCUGUUUUAAUUACAGAUAUACUCUGUAUAUUCUCUCUGAUCUAUUAUUGUAGACACUGCACAUUCAAAUUGACAUUUAAGACCAAACGUCUCUUAUGUUAUCUUUAACAUUACUUUGAAUAAUAAUUACAAUGAUGUUUCUUCCUAUGAUUCCACAUAACAUUUAGAAGAAUGUCAACUUUUUAUAACUGAAUGUAUUUCUAGUGCUUUACUUAUAUUUGGCUUUUCGACUCUUACAAAACCAUCAGUCUGCAUUUAUAUAACUUUUAUAAAUAAUAUUAUAAUUUGGGUCAAGUUAAGAUAAUAAAACUUCCUUUCAGCGUUGAA